UACGUAGGGGGCAAGCGUUGUCCGGAAUUAUUGGGCGUAAAGAGCUCGUAGGCGGUUUGUCGCGUCGGAUGUGAAAGCCCGGGGCUUAACCCCGGGUCUGCAUUCGAUACGGGCAGACUAGAGUGUGGUAGGGGAGAUCGGAAUUCCUGGUGUAGCGGUGAAAUGCGCAGAUAUCAGGAGGAACACCGGUGGCGAAGGCGGAUCUCUGGGCCGUAACUGACGCUGAGGAGCGAAAGCGUGGGGAGCGAACAGG
rnacentral:rRNA from 1 species